AGAGAGAGAGAAAUGUAGUAUGCUAUCAGUUUUGUUUAUUUUUGGAAAAACUACCACUUCUACAGUUUCACACUUUCUCACUUUAGUACCAUGCGGUUUAAAAUAUAUCGAUUUAGUAUCAUGUGGUUUCAUUUUUAUCUUUUUAUUAUCGAUCUCACUAAUUUUUUUUUUAUUAAAUCAGUGACAAAGUUAAAACUAAAGGGUACUAAAGUGAAUAUUUGAUAAAUCUAGGUGGGGUAUCUGAAGUUUUUUGUAUAUAAUUUAACGAAAUAUUAAUGGAGAAACUGACGAAAAGAUAAAAAGAAAGUUGCAGGACACUAAUUUGAUACACUUUAAACUAUAGGGUACUAAAAUGAGAAAAUUCGAAACCACAUGAGUGGUAU
rnacentral:lncRNA from 1 species